rnacentral:lncRNA from 1 species
CGCCCACGGGGAGCCUGGACACCAUAUGAAUGGUAAGAAGUACUUUUCUCGAUUGUUUUUGUGUGAAACUGAAGAUCCUUUCCGGUGUCUCGGAACCCUCAUCCCCAACCCACACCCACCAAGAGCAUCUGCCCUUGGGAAAGUUAUUCCAGUUGUUUUUCUGGGAAACUUGAGUUUCUCAAAUGGGGAAGAGGCUGGCUUGAUCAGAAGGUGUUGGAAACCAGCACUUCUUUGAGGCUAUGGUGCUUUCUCCACCUGGGCGCCAGGGGGUGGUCCUGUCUACCCCAAGUAGCCCAAGGAGGUCCUGGUGUCAGAGAGCCAGCUGUCGCGGAUACCUCUCUCUGAAUCUCGGUUACGUCAGGUUGUUUCCCCUCUGGCUUCUCAUCCCUGGAGCUCAGAAGCUCUUCCCUGUGCACCGCGGAAGGGGUGGAUGGGUGAACGAUCAGAUGACAAUCAGGCUGGUCGCCCUGUGCUGAAAGAAAAUGCCUUGUGGCUGCAGCUCGCUCCUUCAGGCUACCCUCACUAGUCUUCUCAAUGUGGGGUU